rnacentral:rRNA from 1 species
UACGUAGGGUGCAAGCGUUGCCCGGAUUUAUUGGGCGUAAAGGGCGCGUAGGCGGCUCGGCACGUCCGUUGUGAAAUCGCCCGGCUCAACUGGGCGGGGUCAGCGGAUACGGUCGAGCUUGAGCAAGCUAGGGGGCAAUGGGAAUUCCCGGUGUAGUGGUGGAAUGCGUAGAUAUCGGGAGGAACACCAGUGGCGAAGGCG